rnacentral:rRNA from 1 species
AUUGAACGCUGGCGGCAUGCCUUACACAUGCAAGUCGAACGGUAACAGGUCUUCGGAUGCUGACGAGUGGCGAACGGGUGAGUAAUACAUCGGAACGUGCCUAGUAGUGGGGGAUAACUACUCGAAAGAGUGGCUAAUACCGCAUGAGAUCUACGGAUGAAAGCAGGGGAUCGCAAGACCUUGUGCUACUAGAGCGGCCGAUGGCAGAUUAGGUAGUUGGUGGGAUAAAAGCUUACCAAGCCGACGACCUGUAGCUGGUCUGAGAGGACGAUCGGCCACACUGGGACUGAGACACGGCCCAGACUCCUGCGGGAGGCAGCAGUGGGGAAUUUUGGACAAUGGGCGAAAGCCUGAUCCAGCAAUGCCGCGUGCAGGAUGAAGGCCUUCGGGUUGUAAACUGCUUUUGUACGGAACGAAAAGCCCCGGGUUAAUACCCUGGGGUCAUGACGGUACCGUAAGAAUAAGCACCGGCUAACUACGUGCUAGCCGCCGCAGUAA